rnacentral:rRNA from 1 species
UUAAGCGACUAAGCGUACACGGUGGAUGCCCUGGCAGUCAGAGGCGAUGAAGGACGUGCUAAUCUGCGAAAAGCGUCGGUAAGGUGAUAUGAACCGUUAUAGCCGGCGAUGUCCGAAUGGGGAAACCCAGUGCAAUUCGUUGCACUAUCGUUAACUGAAUACAUAGGUUAACGAGGCGAACCGGGGGAACUGAAACAUCUAAGUACCCCGAGGAAAAGAAAUCAACCGAGAUUCCCCCAGUAGCGGCGAGCGAACGGGGAGCAGCCCGGAGUCUGAAUCAGCUUGUGUGUUAGUGGAAGCGUCUGGAAAGUCGCAGGGUACAGGGUGAUACUCCCGUACACUAAAACACACAGGCUGUGAACUCGAAGAGUAGGGCGGGACACGUGGUAUCCUGUCUGAAUAUGGGGGGACCAUCCUCCAAGGCUAAAUACUCCUGACUGACCGAUAGUGAACCAGUACCGUGAGGGAAAGGCGAAAAGAACCCCGGCGAGGGGAGUGAAAAAGAACCUGAAACCGUGUACGUACAAGCAGUAGGAGCCCCACCACCAAAGCGUUUCGCUUUGCGUGGUGCGCAAAAUGCGUAACGACAGCAUGAUGGACGGUUAACGGAGCGUAAGCGACGUUCAACAUCAAAAAUCAGGCAGUGGAGCGUUUUGGGGUGGGGUGACUGCGUACCUUUUGUAUAAUGGGUCAGCGACUUAUAUUCUGUAGCAAGGUUAACCG